rnacentral:rRNA from 1 species
AACGAACGCUGGCGGCAUGCUAACCCCUGCAAGUCGAACGAGACCUUCGGGUCUAGUGGCGCCCGGGUGCGUAACGCGUGGGAACCUGCCCUUAGGUUCGGAAUAACUCCCCGAAAGGGGUGCUAAUACCGGAUAAUGUCUUCGGACCAAAGAUUUAUCGCCUUUGGAUGGGCCCGCGUUGGAUUAGCUAGUUGGUAGGGUAAAAGCCUACCAAGGCGACGAUCCAUAGCUGGUCUGAGAGGAUGAUCAGCCACACUGGGACUGCGACACGGCCCAGACUCCCACGGGAGGCAGCAGUGGGGAAUAUUGGACAAUGGGCGAAAGCCUGAACCAGCAAUGCCGCGUGAGUGAUGAAGGCCUUAGGGUUGUAAAGCUCUUUUACCCGGGAUGAUAAUGACAGUACCGGGAGAAUAAGCUCCGGCUAACUCCGUG